rnacentral:rRNA from 1 species
UACGGAGGGUGCAAGCGUUAUCCGGAAUCACUGGGUUUAAAGGGUGCGUAGGCGGCCAGAUAAGUCAGAGGUGAAAGACGGUAGCUUAACUAUCGCAGUGCCUUUGAUACUGUUUGGCUUGAAUAAGGAUGAGGUAAGCGGAAUGUGACAUGUAGCGGUGAAAUGCAUAGAUAUGUCAUAGAACACCUAUUGCGAAGGCAGCUUACUAGACCUAUAUUGACGCUGAGGCACGAAAGCGUGGGUAUCGAACAGG